GAUGAACGCUUGCGGGAGGCCUAACACAUGCAAGCCGAGCGGUAUUGUUUCUUCGGAAAUGAGAGAGCGGCGUACGGGUGCGGAACACGUGUGCAACCUGCCUUUAUCUGGGGGAUAGCCUUUCGAAAGGAAGAUUAAUACUCCAUAAUAUAUUGAACGGCAUCGUUUAAUAUUGAAAGCUCCGGCGGAUAGAGAUGGGCACGCGCAAGAUUAGCUAGUUGGUGAGGUAACGGCUCACCAAGGCGAUGAUCUUUAGGGGGCCUGAGAGGGUGAUCCCCCACACUGGUACUGAGACACGGACCAGACUCCUACGGGAGGCAGCAGUGAGGAAUAUUGGUCAAUGGGUGCAAGCCUGAACCAGCCAUCCCGCGUGAAGGACGACUGCCCUAUGGGUUGUAAACUUCUUUUGUAUAGGGAUAAACCUACCCUCGUGAGGGUAGCUGAAGGUACUAUACGAAUAAGCACCGGCUAACUCCGUGCCAGCAGCCGCGGUAAUACGGAGGGUGCAAGCGUUAUCCGGAUUUAUUGGGUUUAAAGGGUCCGUAGGCGGACUUAUAAGUCAGUGGUGAAAGCCUGUCGCUUAACGAUAGAACUGCCAUUGAUACUGUAAGUCUUGAGUAUAUUUGAGGUAGCUGGAAUAAGUAGUGUAGCGGUGAAAUGCAUAGAUAUUACUUAGAACACCAAUUGCGAAGGCAGGUUACCAAGAUAUAACUGACGCUGAGGGACGAAAGCGUGGGGAGCGAACAGGAUUAGAUACCCUGGUAGUCCACGCCGUAAACGAUGCUAACUCGUUUUUGGGCUUUAGGGUUCAGAGACCAAGCGAAAGUGAUAAGUUAGCCACCUGGGGAGUACGCUCGCAGGAGUGAAACUCAAAGGAAUUGACGGGGGCCCGCACAAGCGGUGGAUUAUGUGGUUUAAUUCGAUGAUACGCGAGGAACCUUACCAAGACUUAAAUGGGAAUUGACAGCUUUAGAAAUAGAGCUUUCUUCGGACAAUUUUCAAGGUGCUGCAUGGUUGUCGUCAGCUCGUGCCGUGAGGUGUUAGGUUAAGUCCUGCAACGAGCGCAACCCCUGUCACUAGUUGCCAUCAUUCAGUUGGGGACUCUAGUGAGACUGCCUACGCAAGUAGAGAGGAAGGUGGGGAUGACGUCAAAUCAUCACGGCCCUUACGUCUUGGGCCACACACGUAAUACAAUGGCCGGUACAGAGGGCAGCUACACAGCGAUGUGAUGCAAAUCUCGAAAGCCGGUCUCAGUUCGGAUUGGAGUCUGCAACUCGACUCUAUGAAGCUGGAAUCGCUAGUAAUCGCGCAUCAGCCAUGGCGCGGUGAAUACGUUCCCGGGCCU
rnacentral:rRNA from 1 species